AAAUACUCCAAUUUCCCAGCUAUAUUGAAUGCGGCAAUUGAGUCAACAGGACCGCGGGGAGAGUAAAGUCGCUGCCGAAAUGGAAAACACUAACAAUAAAACAGGAACAAAAGGAGCAGGUGCAUAGGGCGGAAAGAAGCAGGAGAAGCCGACAAAGAGUCCCAACAGUCAUGGCGGCGAAUGAAACAACGACAACAAUGUCUGCGUGUGGAAGAACAAGAACAGCCACAGUAAUGUUGGCGGGCGUGUCGCCUCACCUUUCACCAGAUUUUGGAGCCCUACCUUCCACAUUUUUCACCCGAUUCAAAGCGUUCCAACUUCAAACUGUUCAGCCUAUUUGGGAAUCGCGGGCUUUCCUUUGAAACAUUCCAAAAACUCCCACAUUUCCCAGAAUUCCCAAGUUUUCCGGGACAUUUAUCCCAUUCAAAAAUGAAUUGGCCAUUUUUUCAAACUUCCACAUUUUUCCACCGAUUCCAACCAUUCCACCUUCAACAUAUUCCACUCAUCCUGGAAAUUAAAACUUAUAAUUUUUCCAAGUUGUGAAAAAUUCCAGUAAUUCCCUUUUUUUCCAUCGUCAACUCCUUCCACAUUUUUCAACACACUUCAACCGUUCCACCUUUAAAACAUUCCUUUUAAUCAGGAAGUUUAAUCACAAAGUUGCUUUUUGAACAGGAAAAAAUCCCCGUUUUCCCCAAAUUCCUGGAAUUUCUUAAUCUGUUUUUUCAAUUAAAACUAUUAAAACUUAACAUUUCUCAA